rnacentral:lncRNA from 1 species
UUUUUUUUUUUUUUUUUUUGACGUUUAAUGCCACACCUGCAGCAUGUGAACGUUCCCAGGCUAGAGGAUCAAACUGGAGUUGUAGCUGCCAGCCCACACCACAGCCACAGCCACACCAGAUCCAAGCCAUGUCUGCGACACACCACAGCUCACAGCAACGCCGGAUCCUUAACCCUCUGAGCGAGGCCAGGGAUCUAACCCGCAACUUCAUGGUUCCUAGUCGGAUUCGUUUCUGCUGUGCCAUGAUGGGAACUCCGAGGCUGAUGUUUUUUAAGCGAUGUUUUGGGGGUAGUUGAGGGAAGCAAGUGAUGGUUGUGCAGAAGCAAGUCCCUCUGAGUCAUGGAGGAUAGUGGAGGCUGUGUGUGUUGUCAGGGAGGGGUUGGUUAGGAAGCAUCUUCUCAAGUGGCCAGAUCUCAAUUUAAAAAUAACCUUCAGGAGUUCCCGCUGUGGCUCAGUGGUUAACGAAUCCGACUAGGAACCAUGAGGUUGCAGGUUCGGUCUCUGCCCUUGCUCAGUGGGUUAAGGAUCCGGUGUUGCCGUGAGCUGUGGUGUAGGUUUCAGACAUGGCUCAGAUCCUGCAUUGCUGUGGCUCUGGCAUAGGCCGGUGGCUACAGCUCCAGUUCGACCCCUAGCCUGGGAACCUCCAAGUGCCGCAGGAGCGGCCCUAGAAAUGGCAAAAAGGCAAAAUAAAUAAAUAAAUAAAUAAAUAAAAUAAAAAAUAAAAAAUAAAAAUAACCUUCAAGAGUUCCCAGGCUCGGGGUCGAAUCGGAGCUGUAGCCACUGGCCUACGCCAGAGCCCCAGCAAAGCAGGAUCCGAGCCGCAUCUGCAACCUACACCACAGCUCACAGCAACGCCGGAUCCUUAACCCACUGAGCAAGGGCAGGGACUGAACCCGCAACCUCAUGGUUCCUACUCAGAUUCGUUAACCACUGCGCCAUGACGGGAACUCCUGGAAUAGUUUUUUAAUUAGUCUCUCUUCCUCUGGUCUGUGUCCCAUGAUCCACCUGCUGGUAUUAACUGGAUGCUCUCUGGGCACUUUGUGUGUGUCAUCCAUUCCUCAGCAGCAGCUUGUAAGGGAGCUGCUGCUACUGUGUUCAUUCUCCAGAUUGGGAAGCUGAGGCUGAUGGGAGCUGAAUAAUUUGCCCAAAGUCAGAUCCUUAAUAACAUGUCCAGGUCCUCUGCUACUAGUCUAGCUCUUUGUCAUCUCCCUGUGCCGCUUGCUGAAAGCCAGACCUGGUCAUGUCACUCCUUUCGUUAUAAAAACGAAGUGCCUCCUCUGUUCAGUGGGCACAGUGAAGAUGGACACCUCCCUGCCCUCCUUGAGGUGUCCUGCUGGUGAAGGAAACAGGCACCACACACGUAAAGGCAAACGAAAAACGGAGUUAGCAGUCAAAGGUGGCGAAGCUUCCUUGAGUUAACGGAACUCUGUGGUGGUGUCUAGUUAAAUAGCCACCUUCCACAUCUCCCUGCUGAGGCUGCCCAGUGACACCUUGGGGCUUAGAGAAGCCCAGCAGCAGAAGAAAUGCACCUGCCUUCUUCGUUAGCCCAGCCAGUCUUCCCCAGAAUCACGCGACCACAAACACCUCCUGGUAGUUCAGUGAAGGGCUUGGGGGUGUGGAAAGAGAGGGUGCCUCGUCAUUCAGAAGAGAGAGGAUGAUGGCACCCUUGGGGUCCGGCAGGACUUUAUUUAAAAGGGGUCCUGGAAGGCUGAUAGGAUUUGGCUGAACAGAAGGGAUAUCUACAAGGAGACACGUUUAGGAAACAUUUUGGAAAGUGCCUCACCAUAACAGCUGGAACUCUGUGGUUUUAUGGAGUAAACGAACACUGCGACCUUGCAGUAAGUGGAGGGUUUGUGUUAGCAGGAAGCUUGAGAAGGGGCUGUACGGGUAGAAUCUCCAGCCUUUGGCUGGUUAGGAACUUUUGAUAGUCGUUGUUGGGCAUGAUCUGAACCAAGUGGUAGAUGAGAAACUUGCGUUGAGCUGAGACAUAGUUGAGGGAUUGGAGGGGGAGAUCAGAAGCGUGAAAACCGUGGCUAGAGUGGUUGUCUGUGUAAAGUGAGGCAAGCUGAGACCGGCAGGGCCGAGUAGGGCCGAGCCGAAAAGGUAUUGGGAAGAAUCAGCAGGACAAAACAGUUGAGAAUGACUGGUGUGGGCUGCUGGGAGGACCCAGUCCCAAGAGGUCAGGCACAGUGCUCACUGCUCUUCCAGGCAUGUUCCAGAGAGGCUUUAAAUGAAGUAAAUAAAGAAGCUUCUGUUAAAAUGUUUGAUUAAAUACAUAUAGUGAGUGCUUUUAAAAUGCUGAUGGGGCAAGAUGGCAGAUAAUAUAGCAGUUUUAGGAGAGUUUAUUGUUUGAGGUUCUGGUGUAGAGAUUUGAUUCCCAGCACAAGUCCCAGUAAGUAAUGAGCCAUGUAAUAAUAGGGCUCUGCUCUUAAUUAUGGUGAGUACUCUCAAUGAAAUCGAAUUUUCUUAGUACCAUCCGUGGAAAAAAAUUUAACUCUGACUUUACAUAACAGUCCCAGAUAGAGUGUGAACUCUGUGGAUAUGGGAUAGUGACAGAAAAAAAGAGGAAACAAAUCUCCAAUAUUUGCAGAAAAUGUAAGCUCAGAUUAUAACAUAAAUAUAUGAGUGUUUGUGGCGGCUCUGUUGAAGUUGUUACUAGCUAGACUCUAAACCCCAGCACAAACCCCUUCCAGAUUUCAUCAUCACGACUGGUUCUCGGUUAGAUUUUGAGUUCCUUGUUAGCAUGGAUGGUAAUGCUUUUAUCUUUGUAAUACCUACAGUAUUUUGUGGAUUCAGUUGUUUAAAAAAAAGUUCAGGGAGUUCCCAUCGUGGCUUAGCGGAAACAGAUCUGACUAGCAUCCAUGAAGAUGCAGGUUCAAUCCCUGGCCUCACUCAGUGGGUUAAGGAUCCAGCAUUGCCGUGAACUGUGGUGUAGGUCACAGAUGUGGCUCAGAUCUGACAUUGCUGUGGCUGUGGUGUAGGCUGGCAGCUACAACUCCAAUUCAACCUCUAGCCUGGAAACUUUCAUAUGCCGUGCAUAUGGCCCUAAAAAGAUGAACAAAACAAAACAAAACAAUUCAGUUUUAUUGAAUUGCUUCUGCAAAUGAUAGUGGGGGAAGGGGAGAGAUUGCUAAUGAAUACUUUUCCUUUGUUUUUUUUAAGACUUUUUGGGGUAAUGACCAACUGUAUUUUCAGCUAGUCAGCCUGUCAUGUGGGUGUGGAAUGCACCUGCAGGUGUGAGGAGAAUUAGGGGGGUGAGUCCAUUGGAACAGUCCCCAGCGAGAUGCCCUGCACCAGGUUUUCUGUGGGCACCUGUAGGAAUGGGCAGCUCUCUCUCCCUGAGGCCACUGGGCACUGCCAGUAAGUGCCACCAGCCACUUAGGAAGAAAUCAUGUGUGAUAUUUAUGAUGGACGUAUGAGCGCUAGGUAUAACUCCUGGUUUGCCUUUCACAGGUCGGGUGACCGUCUGCAGAUCCUAGCCAUUGGAAAGAUGAGCGUUAUAACUCACAGGGUCAUUCUGGCCAGCCCACGGUGCCUGGUUGGCAUGUAGAGAAUGUAUUAUUUCUGUUCUCUUCUGGGGGCCUCUGGAAAGCAGACCGAGGUUUAAAAAGAUGUUGUCAAAAUUCUUUCCUUUGAAAUCAAUCUGUGUUGACUCAUAAUUUGAGUACUCCUUUAGUACAGUUAUUAAAUAUAGUUACAUAAUUAGCUCACACACAUGCCUAUUUAACCUGUGAGGGCAGAAUUUUGAUUAUGUAGGUCCCAUGGCUUAAGAAAAUGGGGUUUUCUCUUCAACUUGUCUUUAAACUAGAUCUCAAAUUAGCGGACAUUGAUUUCAGAAUUCAGCCUUUAGGAUUCCUCAGAAGUUUUUCUUGCCUUUCAUUUGUCGCUCCCUUAACAUCUCCCCUGCUUUUUUUCAUUUGCUCUUUUCAUGUUGUCAGGGUUUUUUGUUUGUUUUUACGUUUUCUCUCCUGAAACUUUGCACUCAGAGAUAGGAGUAAAGGCCUAUUUUGAGGCAGUAGGAUGGACAGUGUGCUUUCUUUCAUCUCAGUGUAUUAUUGUUUUGCUAACAUGCCUUUUUGCUCUGAAGAUAUAAAUUCACAACUGGAGAAAGAAUCCCAAACUUCAUAAUAACUCUGUAGUUUCCUGAGUGCUUAUUGUGUGCCAAGUACAGGGCAUUUUAGUACAUUAGCUGAUGUCUUCUCAUCCAUAGUGAAGAGACGAAGGCGCCUUGGAGAGUCAGGCCUGGCUGCUUGCUGUGACCGUGCUCCUGACCUGUUCUCUUGUUCCCCCUUGUUCAGUCCCAGGGACAGGGUGGUUUUUAUUAUCUUUAAAGACCUAAGAGAUCUUGGGGCCCUGACUUUGAUGGAUGGCAUUUGGCCUAUUUUAAUUACAAAAACUUAUCAAAUGUUAACAUAAAUUACCUGUGUCUAGUGGGUUCAUAGCCCCAAAUAGUGUCGUUUGGGGUCUUAAAGUGUGUUGAACUGAUUUUGAUGUGUUUAUAAGAGACAUUAUCACUGUUUGAAAAACCCGAUAGUGCUCUUUCCUCCCUGAUUUCUAAUUCUGGCAUCUAGAAUGCAGCUGAGACAAGAGCACGUCUGUGAGACAAACAGAGAUCUCAUGAGAGCUCAUGGAUUAACUUUUUUCCACCACAGCAGCAGGUUUUUCUUAAAGCGUUGUUUGAAAAUUAACAUUACUGAAAAUUUAAGCCUACCUAAAGGGAUUCUAGUUUUGAUCUCAAUUAUAAAAAGUAGGAAGACAUUUCAUAAAAAUCUGUGUCCCCUUAGCACUAGAAUGCUUUGGCUGUGAGUGGGAUAAGCUAGAAGUAAGCUGCCUUUGAUAGACGUGAGCGGUGUGUGAUAACUGUCUCUAUCUAUUCAACUACUUCCUGUUCAAUCUCACAUCGCAGCUGGAAAGCAAUUUCCUCACUUGACCCAUUUUUCUUCUAUAUUGUGUCUUUCUUCUGGUUCUUUAACAAAUAGUUUGAAGGAAUGGAGUGUCGUAAAGCCUUACACACUUGUAAGGUGAGGCAAUUCAGGCACCUGCUUUGGAAUAAGCAUACUCUCUUGUGUUUCAUUAUUUGGCUCCCUGGUUGGGCGGAUAACAGUUUUGCUCCUUUACUUUCAUGUCACUGUUUUCAGAAGAGAGAGAUUUUAAAGCUUGAAAAUGGUAGGCAUUUGAGUAAAGACAAAAACAGGUGUAUGGGGGUAAGGAUCUUGUUUUAGUAACAUGGACAAUUUAUGAAUGUUAUAAUUUUAGUAAGCAUAUAUGCAGUAAGUCUAGCAUUAAUAGAUCCACAUUGUAAAAUGCCUGUUUAUCCAAAGACGGAGGUCUCUUGGUAUCAUUGGCUUGUUACUGUUAAUGCCACCCUUAGUCACAGGUAUGACGUUAUCAUGUGAUAACUUUUGUCCCACACCCAUGGCUUAUAGAGUGCUUGGGUUGCCUUCUCUUUUUGCCAGAUCAAAUUCUAAAUGUCCUAACACACCGAACAUAACGCCAGUCUCCUUCUUGAAACCAUCUCUGACUUUACGUGUAUAAGCUCUCUCUUUUCUGUUUCUGCUCACACCUUUGGGGACCUCACUUAGCCCUGUGACUUUAAAUUUACCACACAUACCCUGAAGACUCCUAGGUUUUUGCUUGUUUUGUGAGGGGGUUUUUUGGCUAGCCUGGACUGCAUAGAUAUUUGCAUAUCUAGUUGCCUUCUCACCACCUGCACAGGACUGUUUAGUGAGCAUUUCCAGCCCACAGGGCCAGACCUGGCCCUGCUCUUGCCCCAGGACCACUCUGCCUGCACUCCUCUCUGUCUUCCUCGAGAGCGCUUACCCCCUUCUGGUCGCUCCAGUCUAAACCCUAGAGUCUUCCUUGGCUCCCUCUUUCUUUCCAUGUACAGUACAUAAGAAACUAAGAGAUUUCUAAGUGAUCCAUGGGUCAAAGAAGAGAAAUACUUGGAACUAAAUUUAAAAAACCAAAUACAACAUAUCAGAAAUCAUAUGAUGCUGCUAAGCUGUGCUAAGAGGGAAAUUUAUGGCAUUAAAUGUCUCUAUUGGAAAAGGAGAACGAUCUCAGAUCAGUAAUUUAAGCGUUUAUCUUAUUCCAAAAAGUGAAGAACAAACUAAACCCAAUAGCAAGUAAAAAGAAGGAGAUAAAGGUUAGAGUGGAAGUCGGUGACGUAGAAACAGAAAGCAGUAGAAAGGAUCAAUAGAACCAAAAUUAAUUGGUUAAUUGAAAAUUAAUUUCAGCCGGUUAAUUGAAGAUAUCAGCAAAAUUGACAAACCUGUAGCUAGAUUGACCAAGAAAAAGAGAGAAGAUACAAGGUACCAAAAUCAAGAAUGAAGAGGGGCGUUGAGUAUUGAUCUUACAGAAAUUAAGUUGAUAGUCUGAAUAACUUUGUACCAACAAGUUAGAUAGCUUAUAUGAAAUGGACAAAAUUCUAGAAAUAGGCAAAUUGCCAAAACUGACUCAAGAAAAAUGAAAAGUCUGAAUAGACAUAUAAUGAGUAAAGAAAUUGAAUUGAUAAUUAACAAUUUUGCCACAAAGAAAAGCCCAAGUUAUUUUGGCUUCAGUGGUAAAUUCUGUCAGACAUAUAAAGAACUAAUACCAAAAAAAAAAAAAAAA